rnacentral:rRNA from 1 species
GUCCCAGACUCCUACGGGAGGCAGCAGUGGGGAAUAUUGCACAAUGGGGGGAACCCUGAUGCAGCGACGCCGCGUGGGUGAAGGAGCACCUCGGUGCGUAAAGCCCUAUCGGCAGGGAAGAAACAGACGGUACCUGACUAAGAAGCCCCGGCUAACUACGUGCCAGCAGCCGCGGUAAUACGUAGGGGGCGAGCGUUAUCCGGAUUUAUUGGGUUUAAAGGGUGCGUAGGCGGGCUUUUAAGUCAGCGGUAAAAAGUCGGGGCUCAACCCCGUCCGGCCGUUGAAACUGGGGGCCUUGAGUGGGCGAGAAGAAGGCGGAAUGCGUGGUGUAGCGGUGAAAUGCAUAGAUAUCACGCAGAACUCCGAUUGCGAAGGCAGCAUACCGGCGCCCGACUGACGCUGAGGCACGAAAGCGUGGGGAUCGAACAGGAUUAGAUACCCGUGUA